CCUGACUAGCUCAAUGUCCCCAUAGAAAAUAAUGGCAAAAAUAUAAAAAACUAAAAUAUUAUUAACUUAAUAAAAUCAUUCACUACAUAAUCAUUCAUUAUCUUUACAAUUAACCAUCUAAAACUACCACAGUUCUUCAAUCAAAGUAUAUAUCUACAUAUAUAGAGAGAGUACACUUCAUAAUUUCGUCCCUUAUCUUACGUAAACGUAGCACGAAAAUUUGAUACUCAGUAUUGUAAGGCAAGUCGUAGAAGCAGUCUUCUUGUACAUAUUUAAAAAUAAUAGCAAGUCAGAAAAAUGAAGCAAAUAGGUUACCAGAGGCACUUAAUGCCACAAUCAAAGACAAUAGAGUUGCUACGUGGUACUAAUGUACACCGUAUUGCUCAUAAGCAGAAAAAGACAAAUAGGCAAUCACAAUAUCUUUUGCUACAAAUCCAAAUAGAAAAAAAACUUUCAGUGCGACUAUAUGAUUGCUCUUUUACAAGAAAAAAUUGAAAUCUUAAUCGGUCAUUUCAUGAAUUAAUUUCAGUAAGCAUAGUGGUAAACAUAUUUUCUGUUACAAGACUUAUAGAUUAUUAUUAUAUGUUGACCUCAAGUAAGAAUUCAGUCACAUUCAACAACCACAAGCAUCACACAAUCUUAAAUACCAUCACACAAUCUUAAAUAACAAUGUUUAGAUUUCUAUAUAAAAAGGACAACAAUUACGAAAAAGUUGAGGCUAUUAGUCAAUGUGAAAAAACUUUUCUUGAGACGACAAAUUUCCAUACAAUAUAUGCCCCAGAGAUGCUAGCUAUAAUCACAAAUAUCAUAGAUUUAAUUACACAUGAAUUCGUAUCGAUUGCUAUUAUAUUAUUUAUAAUCCAUGAACAGGUCUAUUAACUUAAUUAGAAAUUAAUAAAUAAUAGACUUUCAGAACAAGAUCUAGAAACAAACCAAUACCAGCUUUAUUGUUCACCUGAACUGUUUAAACUUUUACGCUACCUUGUGACAAUAUCAGGGUAUCCUGCACCUCAACUUAUUGAUUUCUGGAGGAACAUUAUCAUACCUGAGCAAAAAGUAACUUGCACUAAGAAUUCAAAGUGAAUACUCUGACAAUAAUCUGACCAAAUAAAAC
rnacentral:lncRNA from 1 species